AGGGUGCUUGUACUGCCUUCCAAAGUGAAGAGGAGAUGAACAUGGCUUUGCAUAGCUGUUCUAUGCCAACUUACCUACUCUUGCUGGUACCGUAGUGGCAUAUUGCAAAUUUCGUGGACGAACAACUCUAGUCACUAGUGGCUAGUGAGCAACACUAACAGACCAGAAUGCUUCGCUAUCAACUCCUGGCUUUCCAUCGGCAUGGUGUUCAGCUGCAGCGGCAUCUGGUCCGGGGAGUUCAAGUUGCUGGAUGGCUGCACUGACACAGGAUGGGUUUGCGUUGGCAAUGCGAUACGGCAGUCAUCCCACAUCACGAGCUACAUGUUUAUGUAAUUUAUAUUGUCGCUCGUCCAGCAACGUCAAGGCUCUGCAUGUAAACACAGGAGAACACCAUAAUACUACUCAGGGGAUAAUAAUUUUGGAUAUCAAUUUCGUGACAAUUAUUAGAUUCACACAAUAUUCACAACGUAUGCAACACGAUGCUGUCUAUUGACACUACUUCAAACUGAAGUGCUCACUACUCCUCUCCCGUUUUCAUCUCCCUCUACCUUAUGAAUACUCUGCAUUACUGGUUUCGUUUCUACCCUUUCCAUUGCUGCCAGCUCCCAGUCUUUUUCAAUGCACAGCACCACCUUGACAGUCAUUUUUGUGAUUUGAUGUACACAUACUUUGAAGUUCAAAUUCGAAUUACAUGAUCAGAUUUUUGUUCCACAUUUUCUAUUUAUUUUUACUUCAAGCACAACCCUACCGAUGAAGGGAAAGAAGCAGCAGAGAGA